UGUCGCUCCUGGCUCCUGCACACUUCCAUACGGAAGUGACACGCCGGCUCCUCUGCCAUUGCAUUCACCAGAACUAGUCACGUGGCCACGCCCGCCUUCACAGGGCGGAAGGUGAAAUUCCGUGUGCUUAGCAGAGGACAAUUCAAACGGGUGUCCAGCAGAGAUGGUCAGGACCUCAGCCCGCAGCUAUGAGAAGGGGUCCUCCGGGUGGAGGGAAGAGUCUAGCCCCGCAGGCGAGGCGGGGAAGCAGAGGCGUGCUUCCAAGACGUCCAGAGGCGCGAUCAGGAUAUAUAUGAUCACAUUUUAACUUAGUCUGCAACAUGUACUGAAUAAAAAGAAGAUAGUGCAAAGCAAUUCUCCAACACAGUAAAAGAGGCUGUGAAAAUUGGGGCAGGAAAAGGUUUAUUUCAUGUGGCUGGUCUCAGAACCUGGUUUUCAUAAUAUUUCGAAAAAAAUUU
rnacentral:lncRNA from 10 species